rnacentral:rRNA from 1 species
UACGUAGGCAGCAAGCGUUGUUCGGAGUUACUGGGCGUAAAGAGUGCGUAGGCGGUCUUUUAAGUUUGGUGUGAAAUCUCCCGGCUCAACUGAGAGGGUGCGCCGAAAACUGGGGAGGCUUGAGGAUGGGAGAGGCAUGCGGAAUUCCUGGUGUAGCGGUGAAAUGCGUAGAUAUCAGGAGGAACACCUGCGGUGUAGACAGCAUGCUGGACCAUUUCUGACGCUGAGGCACGAAAGCGUGGGGAGCGAACAGG